GUGAGGAAUAUUGGUCAAUGGGCGCGAGCCUGAACCAGCCAAGUAGCGUGAGGGAUGACGGCCUUCGGGUUGUAAACCUCUUUUGUACGGGAAGAAGGAAGUGACGGUACUGUACGAAUAAGUCCCGGCUAACUACGUGCCAGCAGCCGCGGUAAUACGUAGGGGACGAGCGUUGUCCGGAAUUACUGGGCGUAAAGGGCGCGCAGGCUGUGCUGCAAGUCAGCUGUGAAAUGUCUGGGCUUAACCCGGGCAUGCGGUUGAGACUGCAGUGCUGGAGUGCUGUAGAGGCAAGUGGAAUUCCCAGUGUAGCGGUGAAAUGCGUAGAUAUUGGGAAGAACACCGGUGGCGAAGGCGACUUGCUGGGCAGCAACUGACGCUGAGGCGCGAAAGCCAGGGGAGCAAACGGGAUUAGAAACCCGUGUAGUCC
rnacentral:rRNA from 1 species